UAAGGCUAUAAGAACUCAUUGA
rnacentral:siRNA from 1 species